rnacentral:rRNA from 1 species
UGCAGUCGAACGCUCCGCAAGGGGAGUGGCGCACGGGUGAGUAACACGUGGGAACCUACCUUCUGGUACGGAACAACCAAGGGAAACUUUGGCUAAUACCGUAUACGACCUCCGGGUGAAAGAUUUAUCGCCGGAAGAGGGGCCCGCGUCCGAUUAGGUAGUUGGUGGGGUAACGGCCUACCAAGCCGACGAUCGGUAGCUGGUCUGAGAGGAUGACCAGCCACACUGGGACUGARACACGGCCCAGACUCCUACGGGAGGCAGCAGUGGGGAAUAUUGGACAAUGGGCGCAAGCCUGAUCCAGCCAUGCCGCGUGAGUGAUGAAGGCCUUCGGGUUGUAAAGCUCUUUCACCCACGACGAUGAUGACGGUAGUGGGAGAAGAAGCCCCGGCUAACUUCGUGCCAGCAGCCGCGGUAAUACGAAGGGGGCAAGCGUUGUUCGGAAUGACUGGGCGUAAAGGGCGCGUAGGCGGUUCGUUGCGUCAGAUGUGAAAGCCCCGGGCUCAACCUGGGAACUGCAUUUGAUACGGGCGAGCUUGAAUCCAAGAGAGGGUGGUGGAAUUCCCAGUGUAGAGGUGAAAUUCGUAGAUAUUGGGAAGAACACCAGUGGCGAAGGCGGCCACCUGGCUUGGUAUUGACGCUGAGGCGCGAAAGCGUGGGGAGCAAACAGGAUUAGAUACCCUGGUAGUCCACGCCGUAGACGAUGUGUGCUAGCCGUCGGGCAGCUUGCUGUUCGGUGGCGCAGCUAACGCGAUAAGCACACCGCCUGGGGAGUACGGUCGCAAGAUUAAAACUCAAAKGAAUUGACGGGGGCCCGCACAAGCGGUGGAGCAUGUGGUUUAAUUCNAAGCAACGCGCANAANCUUACCNACCCUUGACAUGGGAAGUAUGANCCUGGGAGACCGGGUNCUUCAGGUCGGCUGGCUUCCACNCAGNUGCUGCAUGGNUGUCGUCAGCUCGUGNCNNGAGNNGUUNGGUUAANCNCNC